GACCCCAUCGUCUAGUGGCCUAGGACGUCGGCCUCUCAAGCCGAAAACAGGGAUUCGACUUCCCUUGGGGUCA
rnacentral:tRNA from 1 species